UACGUAGGUGGCAAGCGUUAUCCGGAUUUAUUGGGCGUAAAGGGAACGCAGGCGGUCUUUUAAGUCUGAUGUGAAAGCCUUCGGCUUAACCGGAGUAGUGCAUUGGAAACUGGGAGACUUGAGUGCAGAAGAGGAGAGUGGAACUUCAUGUGUAGCGGUGAAAUGCGUAGAUAUAUGGAAGAACACCAGUGGCGAAAGCGGCUCUCUGGUCUGUAACUGACGCUGAGGUUCGAAAGCGUGGGUAGCAAACAGG
rnacentral:rRNA from 1 species